GUGAAGAACGCAGCGAAAUGCGAUAAUUAAUGUGAAUUGCAGAAUUCCGUGAAUCAUCGAGUCUUUGAACGCACAUUGCGCCUCAUGGCAUUCCGUGAGGCAUGCCCAUCUCAGCGUUAGAAAAUAUUCUCAAAUUUUAGUUUUGUGCUAAAAUUUGGAUCAUGUCAAGGAAGCUAUUACUAUUAUUGUGAUCGCUCUUUGGAAAUUGAUAGGUCUUUGAGUUGCUACUCAUAGAACGUGAUGAAUCUUUCUUCGUUCUAUUGUAAUUCACUCUGGUAGUCCUAAAACUUGUAUGCCUGUAGCAUAUCUUGUAAUUUGACCUGAGAUUGGGUAGGGAUACCCGCUGAACUUAAGCAUAUCAAUAAGCGGAGGA
rnacentral:misc_RNA from 1 species